rnacentral:tRNA from 1 species
GGUGUUGUGGCUCAGUGGUAGAGCUCUUGCCUAGAAUGUACGAGGCCCUGGGUUUAAUCCUCAGCACCACAU